GUGAAUCAUCAAAUUUUUGAACGCAAAUUGCGCUUCCUAGCAUCCCGGGAAGUAUGCCUGUUUGAGGGUUAGUAUUAACAAAAAAAUAGUUUAGGUUGCAAAUUGUGACGUUUCCGGAGUUUGGGCUAUCUUAACUUCUUUUGUUAAGGCGCUUAAAAUUCACCUUUUUUGCGCAUUUUUAGACUUACAUAAAUUUUUUUUUAAUCGUCUAAUCUUAAUGCCAAAAUCUU
rnacentral:misc_RNA from 1 species